UGCGUUUGUGACUGUGGGACUCGAGUGUGGCAGGAGGGGGGUGGAAUUCCACGUGUAGCAGUGAAAUGCGUAGAGAUGUGGAGGAACACCGAUGGCGAAGGCAGCCCCCUGGGUCAACACUGACGCUCAUGCACGAAAGCGUGGGGAGCAAAACAGGAUUAGAUACCCUGGUAGUCCACGCCCUAAACGAUGCGAACUAGGUGUUGGGGAAGGAGACUUUCUUAGUACCGCAGCUAACGCGUGAAGUUCGCCGCCUGGGGAGUACGGUCGCAAGAUUAAAACUCAAAGGAAUUGACGGGGACCCGCACAAGCGGUGGAUGAUGUGGAUUAAUUCGAUGCAACGCGAAAAACCUUACCUACCCUUGACAUGUCAGGAAGUCCGCUGAGAGGUGGAUGUGCCCGAAAGGGAACCUGAACACAGGUGCUGCAUGGCUGUCGUCAGCUCGUGUCGUGAGAUGUUGGGUUAAGUCCCGCAACGAGC
rnacentral:rRNA from 1 species